AUACGUAGGGGGCGAGCGUUGUCCGGAAUGAUUGGGCGUAAAGGGCGCGUAGGCGGCCCGGUAAGUCUGGAGUGAAAGUCCUGUUUUUAAGAUGGGAAUUGCUUUGGAUACUGUCGGGCUUGAGUGCGGGAGAGGUAAGUGGAAUUCCCGGUGUAGCGGUGAAAUGCGUAGAGAUUGGGAGGAACACCAGUGGGGAAGGCGACUUACUGGACUGUAACUGACGCUGAGGCGCGAAAGUGUGGGGAGCAAACAGGAUUAGAUACCCUGGUAGUCCACACUGUAAACGAUGAAUGCUAGGUGUAGGGGGUAUCGACCCCUUCUGUGCCGCAGUCAACACAAUAAGCAUUCCGCCUGGGGAGUACGGCCGCAAGGUUGAAACUCAAAUGAAUUGGCGGGG
rnacentral:rRNA from 1 species